rnacentral:rRNA from 1 species
GUCCUUAGUUACCAGCACGUUAUGGUGGGCACUCUAAGGAGACUGCCGGUGGACAAACCGGAGGAAGGUGGGGAUGACGUCAAGUCAUCAUGGCCCUUACGGCCUGGGCUACACACGUGCUACAAUGGUCGGUACAAAGGGUUGCCAAGCCGCGAGGUGGAGCUAAUCCCAUAAAACCGAUCGUAGUCCGGAUCGCAGUCUGCAACUCGACUGCGUGAAGUCGGAAUCGCUAGUAAUCGUGAAUCAGAAUGUCACGGUGAAUACGUUCCCGGGCCUU